rnacentral:rRNA from 1 species
UACGUAGGGCGCAAGCGUUGUCCGGAAUUAUUGGGCGUAAAGAGCUCGUAGGCGGCCUGUGCGUCCGCUGUGAAAUCCCGGGGCUCAACCCCCGGGCCUGCAGUGGAUACGGGGCUGGCUAGAGGCAGGCAGGGGGAGAACGGAAUUCCGUGGUGUAGCGGUGAAAUGCGCAGAUAUCAGGAGGAACACCGGUGGGCGAAGGCG